rnacentral:tRNA from 1 species
CACUAAGAAGCUAAGCGGUUAAAAGCGUUAGCCUUUUAAGCUAAAGAAUGGUGACUACCAACCACCCUUAGUGA